rnacentral:rRNA from 1 species
GACGAACGCUGGCGGCGUGCCUAACACAUGCAAGUCGAACGGGGCAAUUUCUUCGGAGAUUGCUUAGUGGCGAACGGGUGAGUAACGCGUGAGAAACCUGCCUUUCAGUGGGGGACAACAGUUGGAAACGACUGCUAAUACCGCAUAAUGUCAUUUAGGGGCAUCCCUAGAAUGACCAAAGCUUUAUGUGCUAAAAGAUGGUCUCGCGUCUGAUUAGUUAGUUGGUGAGGUAACGGCUCACCAAGGCGACGAUCAGUAGCCGGUCUGAGAGGAUGAACGGCCACAUUGGGACUGAGAUACGGCCCAGACUCCUACGGGAGGCAGCAGUGGGGAAUAUUGGGCAAUGGGGGAAACCCUGACCCAGCAACGCCGCGUGAAGGAAGAAGGCCUCGGUUGUAACGUUCUUUUACCUAGGUACGAAGAACGUAGGCGGUACCGUCGG